CAUUCAGACCUUUCCUCUUUAGUGUACUUAACAAAGAAACUUAUUCGAAAACUCUGCAGAUAGGCUUUUUUUGUCCAUAUUCCAACGUCAACUCAGAUUCGUGAUUUCAUGUGUGAAUAAUCAGAAUAAAUAUAUAUUUAAUAUACUAUACAUAUUUUGAUUAUAUCUCACACUUAGGACAUCCAUCUCCUUAUUAAUAAUUGUUCUUCUAUGACUUCAAAACAAGUAAUUGAACAAGUACCACAUCUGCUGAAUUGCGCACGACGAUUGGCAAGGGUGUUUGAAAAUGAAUCAGAUCAAAACAUAGUGCCGUCGGAGAUCCUUGCGCAUGGCCAAAGAGCACAAAGUGCCUAUCAGACAGCAUUGAAAAGUGGGAAAGUCAAAAAUUGUCGCGUGCCCAUAGUUUUGGUUGGCCAAUCCCGAUCUGGAAAGA